UGGGGGAUAUUGCACAAUGGGCGAAAGCCUGAUGCAGCGACGCCGCGUGGGGGAUGAAGGCCUUCGGGUUGUAAACUUCUUUUGCUCUGAACAAGGCGCACCAUGGGGUGUGUUGAGUGUAGGGGUUGAUUAGCGCCGGCUAACUACGUGCCAGCAGCCGCGGUAAUACGUAGGGCGCGAGCGUUGUCCGGAAUUAUUGGGCGUAAAGGGCUUGUAGGUGGCUGGUUGCGUCUGUCGUGAAAGCUCAUGGCUUAACUGUGGGUUUGCGGUGGGUACGGGCUGGCUGGAGUGCAGAAGUGGAGGCUGGAAUUCCUGGUGUAGCGGUGGAAUGCGCAGAUAUCAGGAGGAAUACCGGUGGCGAAGGCGGGUCUCUGGGCUGUUACUGACACUGAGGAGCGAAAGCAUGGGGAGCGAACAGG
rnacentral:rRNA from 1 species